rnacentral:rRNA from 1 species
UACGAAGGAUCCAAGCGUUAUCCGGAUUCAUUGGGUUUAAAGGGUGCGUAGGCGGACGUAUAAGUCAGCGGUGAAAUCUCUCGGCUUAACCGAGAAACUGCCGUUGAUACUGUAUGUCUAGAGUACAGAUGAUGUUGGCGGAAUAUGACAUGUAGCGGUGAAAUGCAUAGAUAUGUCAUAGAACACCGAUUGCGAAGGCAGCUGACAAAACUGUAACUGACGCUGAUGCACGAAAGUGCGGGGAUCAAACAGG